rnacentral:rRNA from 1 species
CUUGUUGGUGAGGUAAUGGCUCACCAAGGCGACGAUCAGUAGCUGGUCUGAGAGGAUGACAGCCACACUGGAACUGAGACACGGUCCAGACUCCUACGGGAGGCAGCAGUGAGGAAUAUUGCACAAUGGGAGAAAUCCUGAUGCAGCGACGCCGCGUGUGGGAAGAAGG